rnacentral:lncRNA from 1 species
GUUCCUUAAUAAGACAAUUCCCAUGAUUAUUUUUAUUGGCUCACAUCUUUAUGGUUUGUUUCUUGAGGGGUUUGUUUGUUUGUUUGCUUGCUUGUUUUUUGGCUAUGCCCACAGCAUGUGGAAGUUCCAGGGCCAGGGAUUAAACCUGCAGCCCAGCAGUGACAAUGCCAGAUCCUUAAACCACUGCCACCAGGGAACUCAUUCGCAUCUUUAAAACUUUGUGUAUCCAGGAGUUCCCGUCGUGGCUCAGUAGAAACCAAUCUGACUAGCAUCCAUGAGGACGCAGGUUUGAUCCCUGACCUUGCUCAGUGAGUUAAAGAUUCGGCAUUGCCAUGAGCUGUGGUGUAGGUUGCAGAUGUGGCUUGGAUCCCACAUUGCUGUGGCUCUGGUAUAGGCUGGCAGCUGCAGCUCCAAUUCAACCCCCUAGCCUGGGAACCCCAAUAUGCUGCAGGCACAAGCCAUAAAAAGAAAAAAACAAAACAAAACAAAAAAAACCCCACAACUUUGGGUAUCCAACACUUAUUGCCUGCCUUUUUUUUUUAAUGGCCACACCCAUGGUAUAUGGAAGUUUCUAGGUCAGGGAUUGAAUCCAAGCCAAAGCUGUGACCUACACAACAGUUGCAGCAAUACCAGAUCCUUUAACCCACAGUGCCAGGCCAGAGAUAGAACCGGCACCUCUGCAGCAACCAGAGCCACUGCAAUCAGAUUCUUAACCCACUGUGCCCCAGCAGAACUCCCAUUACAUGCCUCUUAUGUUCUUGGCACUAGAAAUAUAAAAAUGAGGUAGACACAACCCCUGUCUUUGAGUCUGGACCUAGCCUAGCAGCUUGUAGGACACCUGGGCUCUUGUGGCUGUCACUGAAGGAGGUCCAGUCUCUUUGCCCUCUUCAGUUUCUGGAGGCAGGAAUCUGGGGCAGGGGGCAGAAGGCACAGUCCCAACCCACCUUAUAGGGGAUGACCAGGAACCUCCCAGUGGAUCAAGAAUAUAUCCAGACAAGAGAGUUCCUGCCAUGGCUCAGUGGAAACAAAUCUGACUAACAUCCAUGAGGACACAGGUUCAAUCCCUGGCCUCACUCAGUGGGUUAAGGAUGCGGCGUUGCCAGGAGCUGUGGUGUAGGUCGCAGACGUGGCUCAGAUCUUGCGUUGCUGUAACUGUGGCAACGAUUAGACCCCUAGCCUGGGAACCUCCAUAUGCCACGGGUACAGCCCUAAAGAAAAGACAAAAAAAGAAUAUAUCCAGACUAUAUAUUAAUUUUUGUAUUAGAGCAUUUGAGACAUAAGUGCCGGAGUGAAAAUAAACUCUGAUAAGUUGACCCCUCCCCCAGCCCCCCAGCAGGAAGUGUGGUUUGACUCAGAUGGUUUCUAAGACAGAGGUAGGAACCCUCAUUCCUUUCCAGACUCAGCUAAUAGCAUGAUUUUUCUAGGGGACACUGACCUAAAAGGGGUCCUCUUGAGAUAAUGUCCCCCAGCUAUAAGGUGCUCCCCUUUCUAGGGCAGAGAUAAUUCUAAAGCAACUGUAGCGCGGAUGGGUUGACAUAGUGCUAAGGUUUUCCCUGGAUGGCUGGGUGGGUUUGGGCAGAGCCAUCCUUAGCUAGCCUCCUGGUCCAUUCCUACAUGGCUCCAUGUGAUCUGAUCCUUAGGGUCUGGUCUACAUCCUGCCAGGGACUAGGACUUUUGCUGAGUUCAACUCUAGUCAUUUUAGACCAGCUUUUCUAGAAGCUUCCUCAGGUUCCUUCAUGAGGCACAGAGAGAAACCUUGAAUACCAGCCCCCCAACUCCUGACUUUUUGUCUGUUGAGCUCAUCUUCCUGGCUCCACUGCUGUUGGUUACAAACAGGAAGCAAGGAUGCCCAGAGAGAAGAAAGUGUAUGACCCUGUCACCACCUGUCUGAGGCUCCCAGGCUGAAGUGAGGUCAUCCUUAUCCAUCCACCAGCCUGGAGAUGGUUGACAUCACCAUGCUGUCUCUUCUACCUUUGCACCCAGCCCACGGAUCACAACCCAUGGGAGAGGAUGCAAUUUGCUGAUUUCCCUACCCCGCACCUGGCUCGUGGCUGUGAGGCAAGCCCCCCAGAUAUUUAACCUAAAUCCACCACGCUGUAGAUUUCCAGGAAGACCCAGCUCUCCUAUCUCCUACAACCCGUCAGCUGAAAUUGAGGUCCUAAAACUAGCCAAGGACAUUGUGGCAGACGACCGGGUCCAGUUCCAUGUAUUGAAUGCCUUUGACCCCCCACCCAUUAGCCCCUAUGAUGAUCAGGCCUUGGGCUACCAGCUGCUCCGCCAGACCAUACAGUCUGUCUUCCCGGAAAUCAACAUUGUUGUCCCAGGUACAUGUGUUGUCAGCACAGACAGCAAACACUAUUUGAACCUCACCACUGGCAUCUACCUGUUCAACCCCCUCUACCUGCAGCCGCAGAGCUUCUGCACGUGAGUAUGUGGAACAGGUUUGGACAGCCUGGGGGAGAGAGGAGUUACAUAUGACCUGUCCCUUCCACGCCCCUGUUCUCUUGACAGUCCACAGCAUGGGUGAAAGCCAGGGUUUGCACAAACUAAAAGACACUGUAGAACCCAACUGGCCAACAUUCCUCAGUUCCACAAUCUCACCACUCCCCGAAACUUGUGGGAAUUGGUGACUGUUUUUCAGAGAUAGAGUCCAUCAGAUGAUUGAAAGGAACCUGGUAGAAUCAGAAGCCAUGGGUGCUGUCCCCACCCCUUCCUCCCUUUGAGAGAGUACAUCCCCUCUGAUCUCAUUUUCUCCCCAAAAACGGGAGAUUCCACAGUUGGCAGUUACCGGUGAAAUACAGACACAUUUGAGGUCAAAGGUGGGUCCAUGCUUUGAAUUCUCAAAAGCAAACAUACUGUAGGAAUCUAAGACAUGCUCACAUUUCAACUGCUGUGUGUGAAUUACUCUUUGUGGGUUCUUCAGCAGAUUUUUAGUCCCAGGAUAUGAGGGGAUGAUGUCCAUUUCCUCUCUGCUCCUUACCACAUCCAGCUCUGAUUUCCUCGUCGUAAGUCGGUUGCCAACAAAACAAUUUGAAUAUGAGCUUAAGAACAGAUUUUAGGAGUUCCCAUUGUGGCACAGCAGAAGUGACUCUGACUAGAACCCAUGACAAUGCGGCUUCAGUCCCUGGUCUUUCUCAGUGGAUUAAUGAUCUGGUGAUGCCAUGAGCUGUGGCAUAGGUCACAGACAAGGCUUGGAUUCCAAGUUGUUGUGGCUGUGGUGUAGGCUGGCAGUUGUAGCUCUGAUUCAACCCAUAGCCCGGGAGCUUCCAUAUGCCAUGGGUGUGGCCCUUUAAAAAGCCAAAAAAGAGGAGUUCCCAUCGUGGCUCAGUGGUUAACGAAUCUGACUAGGAACCAUGAGGUUGCGGGUUCGAUUCCUGGCCCUGCUCAGUGGGUUAAGGAUCUGGCGUUGCCAUGAGCUGUGGUGUAGGUUACAGACGCAGCUCAGAUCCGGCGUUGCUGUGGCUGUGGCGUAGGCCGGCGGCUAUAGCUCCAAUUCGACCCCUAGCCUGGGAACCUCCAUAUGCCACAGGAGCGGCCCAAGAAAUGGCAAAAAAGACAAAAAAAAAAAAAAAAAA